GACGAACGCUGGCGGCGCGCUUAACACAUGCAAGUCGAACGGAAAGGCCUGCUUUCCCUUGUGGAUUGCGGGUACUCGAGUGGCGAACGGGUGAGUAACACGUGAGUGAUCUGCCCCCAACUUGGGUAUAAGCCUGGGAAACUGGGUCUAAUUCCCGAUAGGACUGCAGGGUGGUGCCUGUGGUGGAAAACGAUUUUCUAGUGGUUGGGGAUGAGCUCGCGGCCUAUCAGCUUGUUGGUGGGGUAAUGGCCUACCAAGGCGGCGACGGGUAGCCGGCCUGAGAGGGUGGACGGCCACAUUGGGACUGAGAUACGGCCCAGACUCCUACGGGAGGCAGCAGUAGGGAAUCUUCCGCAAUGGGCGAAAGCCUGACGGAGCAACGCCGCGUGAGUGAUGAAGGUCUUCGGAUCGUAAAACUCUGUUAUUAGGGAAGAACAAAUGUGUAAGUAACUAUGCACGUCUUGACGGUACCUAAUCAGAAAGCCACGGCUAACUACGUG
rnacentral:rRNA from 1 species